rnacentral:lncRNA from 1 species
GCAAAUUUCCGAGAUAAAUACCGCGAACCGAGCGAAUCAAAUAACACAUCACGUUGGUUCAAAAGGAUUAGCGCAAAGACGUCAUGAAUUGGUAAUUUAUUUAUAAUUUAUAUCUAAUUUUUUUAUAUAUUAAUGAAUUAUGUGAAUAUAGAUGUAACAAGGAAGGAGUGAAGUCGAAGCUUGGUCAGAGACUUUACAAAUGAUAUAUAAGGGAAGCGAUAAAGUUGUAAGUCUUUUUUUAAAAUUAUUUAUAUUUUAUAAUUUCUAUUAUCAUUGUUUGAUUUUGUUAUUCUUACAGCUUGAAGUCACGGAAUUUAUCAAAAGUCAAGAGG